rnacentral:sRNA from 1 species
UUCCCAACAGACGUUCUUUUGUAUCUAUUGUGUUCAAAGUUUCCAGAUGGACAAGCCAUGCAGUUGCAGGCACUCCCUUGUUCACAUGGUAUUGACUAACAGUUCUAUGGUUACGUUCGGUUGAAAGAGAUACUGAAUUAUGUGGUCCCCAACUGUGUGGUCAUAAACAUUUUAGUACUGGGACCUGCCUCAAUGAGGAAGAAAAUUAAAAUGACUUCUGCAGUCAACUUGCUAAGCUAUCAUCCAUUGCUUCUGAAUCUGACGUAGUAAAAGUAAGAGCGGGAGACUGCAAUCAAUCGUUUCCUAACUUCGAUGAACUCAGAAGCGGAUAGCUUCCACAAAAUGCGAAAGAAAAGACAGAUUUUACAGUUCCCAUCAGACUGUGUAACUCCCCUGACAAACUGUCCCAAUGGCUUUGCACUGCUCUGAGAGAUAAAUAAUAAAUACCCACCAUUGCUAGCCCGACAAAACCUUUUACUAUUAAA